UACGUAGGAGGCGAGCGUUGUCCGGAAUUACUGGGUGUAAAGCGCGCGUAGGUGGACGACCCAGUCUGUGGUGAAAUCGCCCGGCUCAACUGGGCAGGGUCCAUGGAAACUGGUCGACUGGAGGACGGUAGAGGCGAGUGGAAUUCCCGGUGUAGUGGUGAAAUGCGUAGAGAUGUGGAGGAACACCGAUGGCGAAGGCAGCCUUCUGGGCCAACACUGACGCUCAUGCACGAAAGCGUGGGGAGCAAACAGG
rnacentral:rRNA from 1 species